GACGAACGCUGGCGGCGUGCCUAAUACAUGCAAGUAGAACGCACAGUUUAUACCGUAGCUUGCUACACCAUAGACUGUGAGUUGCGAACGGGUGAGUAACGCGUAGGUAACCUGUCUGGUAGCGGGGGAUAACUAUUGGAAACGAUAGCUAAUACCGCAUAAUAUUAAUUAUUGCAUGAUAAUUAAUUGAAAGGUGCAAUUGCACCACUACCAGAUGGACCUGCGUUGGAUUAGCUAGUAGGUGAGGUAACGGCUCACCUAGGCGACGAUACAGAGCCGACCUGGGAGGGUGGUCGGCCACACUGGGACUGUGACACGGCCCAGACUCCUACGGGGGGCAGCAGUAGGGAAUCUUCGGCAAUGGACGAGAGUCUGACCGAGCAACGCCGCGUGAGUGAAGAAGGUUUUCGGGUCGUGAAGCUCUGUUGUAAGGGAAGAACGGGUGUGAGAGUGGAAAGUUCACACUGUGACGGUAUCUUACCAGAAAGGGACGGCUAACUACGUG
rnacentral:rRNA from 1 species